AUGCCGUGAUGGAGACAUUUUCUCAAUAGCUCCUUAAAAUGCUCCCAUGCAUCAUACAAAGACUCCUCCUCCAUCUGAUAGAAAUAAUUAAUCUCUCCCCUCAACUU